GAGAAAGACAAUCCUCUCAGGCAACGCUGAAGGGAAGCUGCGUGUGUCUCUCUUCAUGUUUCACCCCCAUAAGAAGUGCUUGUUGAGGGGGAGAAGUCAGAAGAGUGUUUACGGUUGAUGACAUCCACUAAACAUCCUCAUAGCCCUCAGCAGCAGCAGCAGCAGCAGCCUGUAAGCUGCAGGAACACAGGCUGAACAUAUCCACGCACUGAUGUAUGCAGACAUGGAGGAAGAGUACGAGUUUAGAAUAUUGGCUUCUUCAAAUAUAAAGCUCCUUCAGCCGACGGGAACAGAGAAAGAAACGUUCAUGCUACGCGACACUCACCACAAGUAAACAACAGACAGGUGUGUGCAGGCUAUAACCAGGAUAAGGGUCCGAACUGGUUUUAAUGGUGAGUUGUGUUUAGCAGUUAGCCUGAGCUCAGAGCCGCAGCUGCUGGACAGGAGGCUAAAA